rnacentral:rRNA from 1 species
GUCUACGGCCAUGCUACCCUGAACGUGCCCGAUCCUGUCCGAUCUUGGAAACUAAGCAGAGUUGGGCUUGGUUAGUAAUUGGAUGGGAGACCACCUAGGAAGACCAGGUGCUGUAGGCG